GACGAACCGUGCGAACGUUAUUCGGAAUCACUGGGCUUAAAGCGCGUGUAGGCGGGAGGGCACGUCCGUUGCUGAAAUCCCCCGGCUCAACCGGGGAACGGGCGCGGAUACGACUCUCCUUGAGGGGCGUAGGGGGACCUGGAACUUCCGGUGGAGCGGUGAAAUGCGUAGAGAUCCGGAGGAACACCAAAGGCGAAGGCAGUGUCCUGGGGAGUACCUGACGCUCAGGUGCGAAAGCCAGGGGAGCGAACGGG
rnacentral:rRNA from 1 species